GGAGUAUAGCUCAGAGGUAGAGCAUACGCUUGGCAUGCACAAGGUCCUGGGCUCAAUCCCCAGUAUCUCCA
rnacentral:tRNA from 1 species